UACAGAGGGGGCAAGCGUUAUUCGGAAUUAUUGGGCGUAAAGGGCGCGUAGGCGGCUUUGCAAGUGGCGGGUGAAAUCCCUCGGCUUAACCGAGGAACUGCCUGUCAAACUGCAUGACUUGAGACCGGGAGAGGUGAGUGGAAUUCCCAGUGUAGCGGUGAAAUGCGUAGAUAUUGGGAGGAACACCAGUGGCGAAGACGGCUCACUGGACCGGUACUGACGCUGAUGCGCGAAAGCGUGGGGAGCAAACAGG
rnacentral:rRNA from 1 species